rnacentral:tRNA from 1 species
UGCGGGAUGGCGCAACGGGCAGCGCGCCGGGCUCUGAACCCGGAGAUGGGGGUUCGACACCUUCUCCCGCAG